ensembl:snoRNA
AUCCUUUUGUAGUUCAUGAGGAUGAUGAUUGGGUAUUUCACACAUGUGUGUGAAAUGUGCCACCCUCAAACCUUGUUACAAUGUCAGCACAUUACCUGCCUGACC